GACGAACGCUAGCGGCGUGCCUAAGAAAUGCAAGUUGAGCGGGGUGGUGGACUUCGGUCUGCUUACCUAGCAGCGAACGGUCGCGUAACACGUAAGCAACCUGCCUCGAAGUUUGGGAUAGCCCUCCGAAAGGAGGAGUAAUACCGGAUGUGGAUAUAUUUAGACAUCUUUAUAUAUCUAAAGCAGUAAUGCGCUUCGAGAUGGGCUUGCGGCCUAUCAGCUAGUUGGUGGGGUAACGGCCUACCAAGGCGACGACGGGUAGCUGGUCUGAGAGGAUGAUCAGCCGGAUUGGGACUGAGAUACGGCCCAGACACCUACGGGUGGCAG
rnacentral:rRNA from 1 species